UCGAAAAUUGACCGGUUCUUGUAAACGACGUCGUUUGAUUAAAAAAAUGCCAAACGCCAAACGCGUAAACCCCCCUUCCCCUACCACCCUCCCCGCUUUCGUUACUCAUUCAUUCAUAAUCAGAAUCAGAAAAGCAAAGCUUCAAAGUUCAAAAAUUAGGGUUCUGCCGGCGCCGUCCGUUGUUGUCGGCGCUUCUGCGGCCUCUUCCUUUCCCCCUGUCCCGAACCCAGCCCCUCUUGUAGCUCCGCACGUCAUCCCCAUCCUCCCGUGGCUUCUCUGGUUGAGGGUUGGAGCUGCUCGCUGUCGUGCCGCCGUCGUCUCCCUGCUCGCCGCUCGCCGUCGCGCUCACAUAUAGGAAGAAUCAUCGCGAGCGCCAUCGUUUCCUCCUCCUCUCGGUCAAACCGUCAUCUGCUUCUCAGCCGUCCUACUUGCCGCGGUCCUUAUUGUCCACGAGACCACGACCUUCAGUCACGCCGCGUCCUCUAUCUUAGGGGAGCAGCUCAAAGUUGGGAGUGGAGUAGUUUGCGGCAUUGAAAACCAUCAGCACAAUGAAUAACAUGCCAAUAGACAAUACUGAGUGAUAAAACAGAGGUUUCUUAACAAGUCUCUUGGAUUUUAUGUUUUAGAAGCCAAAGGAUUGAUCCUAUUUUAGGUAUCUUUCUAAAGAUGGUUGACACAGACUCUAUUUAUGAAUUUUUACCAUCCUCUGAAACCACAUUAGAUUGGAAGCUUGGAAAACAUUUAAUACUAUCAAUGUAUUAACUAUUAAACAAACAUGUUUUGUAAUUUUAUAUUAUAGAAAUAAACAUGUUUUAUAAUUUUUAUUGUGUUGACGAUAUAUUUAU